GCUAUUGAAUAAUGAAUGCUUGUUGUUUCUCAUCCUGGAACUCAUUCGUCUUUUAAUUUUAUUCUCUUUUUCUUUGUCAUGUUUGUACAAUGGCCCCGAGGGGUUUGCUAAAGCGCAUUACCGCGUGGUGGCUGUAAAAGGAUCGGGGAAACAUGAAGCUCGUGGAGAGAUGACAUGUAAUGUUUCUGAUAGACGAGGUCAAAGCUUUUGUACCUCUCCAAUGGGUAAGACUUGAAGCUUAUUCGGUUUUGGUGUCCGGAUGCUUUGUCUAUAAUUCUCAGUGUCUAUAUCUGCUUAACCACUACUCUUAGAGAGAAUAAUAGUUUCUGGGAUUGUCUCAAGUGACUUAAACGCUGAAGGAUGCUUUCUGAGUAACGGGUAGAAAGGUGAUGUUGCAUUCGGUAUGUAGUAAAACAUCGGAUCUAUGUUCAAAAUAGUUCUAAGUAAAAACUCUUGUAUGCGAUUUUAUGUUUUGUCGAUCAAAAUUUAAAAGACUUAAUGGUUUUAAAACAGUGAAAUAGGUAACACAGAUUUUGUAUUAUGUGAUGAUGAUCUAAAAGGAAAGGUUGUGGGGUUGGCCAAAGUCAUUUUGUGACCGCACCUUUAUCAAACAAUGAAACAUAUAAAGCGUAGAUACGGCAAUGCACAACUCUAUCAA